ensembl:lincRNA
AUUCACAGGCCCAUUGAUUUCCCUUUCUUAAUUAACACAAGGCUCCCGAAGGCUAAUCUGAAGUUUCACACAUGAAUCUGCAAGUAUGUAAAGACAUACAUUCUCUCCAAGAACCAGAAUGAGAAUCUGCAAAGCUGAAGAGAAAACAUCCCUUCAUCUCUGUACUUGUGAUGCCUGAGAAGGAGCAAGUAUUUCACGAAUGUUUGUGGAGUAAAGAAAAAUUAUCAAGUCCUUUGAGAAAUGACUGCAGGAGAGGUAGGAGCAAUCGUUACUUUCUCCUGGGAGCCUGGAAGCUGCCUUGCCCCCACACUUCCCCUGUGUACUCCUCUUCACUUCUCACUGUGAAAAGGCAAAAUAAAAUGGAGAAGGAAAAGUGGAUGAGUGGAAGGUAAAAGGUCAAAGGUGAGUUACAAUUGAGUCUUCAGAGUUCAGCAGUUAGUGAAGUAAAGAGAAAAAGAGAAUGUACCAGUCCACCACAGAAGACCCCAGGAAACCCACAGCAGCCUUUGGGUACUUCCUCAGGGGAGGGGGCAAGCAUAAGAAUAACAGGGAGUUUAAAAUCCUGCUAAACUAUUUCUUCGCAAAGCUGUAUUUACUUUCUGAAGUGCCUGCUAUCAGUGCCCUAUAAUCAUAGAAUCAAAAAGGAAGAAAAAUGUUUAUUUUCAUGCAGUUGCUGCCUAUUACCAUGAAUGGAAAUAUAUUUAAUACCGAUGUUUUCCUGGUGGUCCAUAUAACUUUUAUUUCUUCUACCGAAAGAAGAAUAAAAAUUAAGCCAUCCAAAGCAAAGCACCUUUUCUGAAUUUCAAGUAGACAGCUAGGCAGCACCAGAAGCUGUUAUAAAUGGGUACUCCACAGGAAUUCAGAUAAACCAAGAUGGAUUUCCUCAAACAUGUUUGCUUACAAAACCCUUUAAUUCUUAAUUCUUUCUCUCCUUCUCUCUCCUUUACACACACACACACACACACACAAACAUACACAUGCACACACACACACACACACACACACACAGCAUGUGCUCUGUUACCUGCAGAGUUGAUAUUAUAAUAAACCAGGAUGUCAAACACAGGGGAAAGUGCAUACAAAGAGUGUUUUAAAGACAAAACUUCACCAGGGUCUUCAGCAAUCUUGUUUUCUGCUGAAUUUGAGAUGUCAGAAGAGAACAUUUCUCCCUUGUCUCCCGUAAGAAUGACUCUAUUUGUUCUUUUUCAGGGACCCCCUCAAGGGUCCUGUCCCAGAACAAAAUGAAAAAUGACGCUUUAUUUUUCACAGUCUCUUUUGUCAAGAAGUUCACGACGCUUUAGGAAACUGGUCUCAUAAAUCUUCAAGACACUCUUGAGAGGUAGAAAGCAAUGGUUUCACCCCCAUUAUACAGGUGAGGAAACUGAGGUAUAGCAGCAGAGGAAGAGUAACUUGCCAGGGCCUUUAAUAACAGUCUGAAAAACAGCAGAUUUUCUCUCUUCCAAGUCAGCCCC